GCCUAACGGCUGAACUGGCAACUUGGAGAAGUGGCAAGUUUUAUAAUUAAUAGUAAUUUAUAUUUCUAUUUUUAUAAAAUUCUAUUAGAAUUGAAUGAAGCUUUGUUUAUAUAUUGAUAAUGACAGUAUAUAUAUCGUGUCUUGACCAAUUACGUGCCAGCAGUCGCGUAAUACGUAAGAGACUAGUGUUAUUCAUCUUAAUUAGGUUUAAAGGGUACCCAGACGGUCAAUAUAGCUUCUAUAAUGUUAGUACUUGACUAGAGUUUUAUAUAAGAGGGCAGUACUUGAGGAGGAGAGUUGAAAUUCCGUGAUACCAAAGGGACUCUGUAAGGGCGAAGGCGGCCCUCUAUGUAUCAACUGACGUUGAAGGACGAAGGCACAGAGAACAAACAGGAUUAGAUACCCUAAUAGUCUUUGUAGUAAAUGAUGAAUGCCAUAGGUCAGAUAGAGAUAAUAUUUGGACUAUAAAUGAAAGUGUAAGCAUUUCACCUCAAGAGUAAUGUGGCAACGCAGGAACUGAAAUCACUAGACCGUUUCUGACACCAGUAGUGAAGU
rnacentral:rRNA from 1 species